CAUGCUCAGUAUCUUCUCAGUCGUCGAUCAAGACAGUGCAGAAAGCAGCAGCAGCAGAAGCAAUUGCUAGUGGAGUGUUAUCUCGCGAGUGUGAUCAGUUGACUGGGAAAACCGUUCCAAAACCAUCUAAAAAUGGCCAGUUUAAGAAUUACCAUCCUUCUGAUUCUUGCAGUCAGUAAUGUGAUACUCUGCAAACCGAUUGUGGAAGAACGGAUUUCGAAUAAUAGCUCAAUGAUGUCAUCAGCCCAUGAGGCACGUGUUCCAAGGAUGCAUAUCGAUGGUACAUCUCCAGUUCUCCAAGCCGGAAUUGCACGCGUCAACGGACGGUUUGGAAAAAGUAUCCGAGCGUUUACAGUGAAUGAGUUUGAAAAAUAUAUUGUAGGAUUGGUGUAACAGUGAUUAGAAUAUAAAUUAUGUUUAUAUGUUAAGAAAAGAAUGCUAAGUGAUUUCGUGGAUAUAAUGAAUUAUGGCAAAUCUUCAUGUCAUUAUUUAUCUGAUGACAACAUACACACUAAGAAAAAAUCAUGUAAAUUUAAGUGCUCUGAGAGUGACAUAUACGAGCGUCAAUUUUGACAUAAAUUUGAGUCAUAAUAGACACGAAAUAAAGCUUAAUCAAACAUACUUUUCAUCGAGCAACGAACUUUUCAGUCUCGGAGAUGGAUUCCUUUACAUGUAAAAUUAAUUAUUUCUAAGUGUGUAUGAUUCAAAUCAUUAUUAACAU